rnacentral:rRNA from 1 species
CGAGCGAAGCGGGAAGAGCCCAAAAUGAAAAGCCAGCUUGCUGGCAUUGUAGUUGAGCGACCUUGGGGUGUCAGUCUGGGUAAGUCGCAUGGAAAUGCGUGCCGUGGAGGGUGAGAGCCCCGUCCAUCCCAUUCAGGACACUCCGCACAAGGGCGUUUCAGACGAGUCGGGUAGCUUGGGAAUGCUGCUCUAAUUGGUGGUAAAUCUCAUCAAAGGCUAAAUAACGGUGGGAGACCGAUAGCGAACAAGUACCGUGAGGGAAAGAUGACAAGCACUUUGAAAAGAGGGUGAAAAGAGCCUGAAACCGUUACGGGGGAAGCGGAUUGCGUUGGCCUGGUGGCCGCCUGUGUGUUCAGCCUUUUGGGUGCAUUGAUGCAGGUGGUUAUCCGUCGUGGCUUCUCGGGGGUCGAAUUUGGGCCGCUGGGGGGUGAGGGCUCCCCUUUAAUUUGGGUGAGGACGACGGAGUGACGACGCGAUACGACCCGUCUUGAAACACGGACCAAGGAGUCUAGCGCGGGUGCGAGUCGGAGGGUGUGAAAACCCGUGGGCGAAGUGAAAGCGAGUUUUAAAAACGAGCAGUUUGGGGCGGCAUAGAAUCGUUGAUUCUAGGUCCGACCUUGAGCAGUUGCGCUGGGACCCGAAAGAUGGUGAACUAUGCCGGAGUAGGGCAAAGCCAGAAGAAAUUCUGGUGGAGGCUCGUAGCGGUGCUGACGUGCAAAUCGCUCGUCGAACUUGGGUAUAGGGGCGAAAGACUAAUCGAACCAUCUAGUAGCUGGUUCCCUCCGAAGUUUCUCUCAGGAUAGCAGGCCGACAAGUUGUUUUGUGCGGUAAAGCGAAUGAUUAGCGUACUCGGGGACGUUUAGUCUUUGGACGAUUCUCAAACUUUCAAUGCGCAAGGGUACCGGUGCUUUGUUGAGCGGUACCGAUAAAAACGUCGGCCUUGUGGGCCACUUUUGGUAAGCAGAACUGGCGAUACGGGAUGAACCGUAAGCAUGGUUAAGGUGCCAAACCCGCCAAGGAGUGUGUAACAACUCACCUGCCGAAUGAAUUAGCCCUGAAAAUGGAUGGCGCUUAAGCGGGCGACCGACACCAUGCCGUCUGUGAAAUGUAUUUCAGAUGAGUAGGAGGGCGUGGCGGCCGUGUCGAAGCGUGCUUGCAGAGGCAUGUGGAACGGCCGCUAGUGCAGAUCUUGGUGGUAGUAGCAAAUAUUCAAGCGAGAUCCUUGAAGGGCGAAGCGGGGAAGGGUUCCACGCGAACAUUGAUUGGGCGUGGGUGAGUCGUUCCUAAGCCGAGUGGCGAUUGCUAAGUAGCGGCGAAAGGGAAGCGGGUUGACAUUCCCGCACACGGAUGUGGAGGCGGUGACGCUUUAUUGGGGCGAACACGCUGGCGGUGGCGCUGGGCAGAGUUGUCUUUUCUGUUUGACCGCUGAUGCACGCGGUGUGGAAUCCGCUUGUCGGGAGAAACACGCGUGUACGGGCAGAGCGCCGGGGCUUUUCCGGCGUCCAGCUCGCCACCGACGGCCCUUGAAACUUUGCCUGCUGGUAUUUUUAAUAAAGAUCCACGCCGUGGCGUACCGAUCACCGCAUCAGGUCCCCAAGGUGAACAGCCUCUGCUCGAUAUGAACAAUGCAGGUAAGGGAAGUCGGCAAAUUGGACCCGUAACUUUGGGAAAAGGGUUGGCUCUAGUGCUGCGUGGGAGUGGUUGUCGAGUGUUGGUGUGUCUAGGCUUGCUGGAAUGAGCGCGGGCCCUUCGGGGACUGUGUUUAUCUGGCGGGCCCGGGCGCGCCACGCUCGACGACGCCCACAGCAUGCAGCAGACUAGAACUGCAACGGGCAAAGGGAAUCCGACUGUUUAAUUAAAACAAAGCAUUGCGAGGGCCGUGGCCGGUGAUGACGCAAUGUGAUUUCUGCUCAGUGCUCUGAAUGUCAAAGUGAAGAGAUUCAAUCAAGCGCGGGUAAACAGCGGGAGUAACUAUGACUCUCUUAAGGUAGCCAAAUGCCUCGUCAUCUAAUUAGUGACGCGCAUGAAUGGAUUAACGAGAUUCCUACUGUCCCUAUCUGCUUCUAGCGAAACCACAGCCGAGGGAACGGGCUCGGCGAAAUCGGCGGGGAAAGAAGACCCUGUUGAGCUUGACUCUAUUCUAAUUUUGUGAAGCAAGCUGGGAGGUGUAGCAUAGGUGGGAGACUUUGGUCGUCCGUGAAAUACCACUACUCCCAGUCUUGCUUUACUUACUGGGUGGGUGUGGAUGAGUCUUACGACUCUUUUCUGGAACCAACCUGAUUUAAUUUGGGGACCACAGCUCAGUACACAUUUAGGAGGGGAGUUUGGCUGGGGCGGUACAUCUUCUACAAGACAACGAAGGUGUCCAAAGAUAAGCUCAGUGAGAACAGAAAUCUCACGUAGCGCAAAAGGGUAAAAGCUUGUUUGAUUUUGAUUUUCAGUGCGAGUCAAAAACGCGAAAGCGUGGCCUAUCGAUCCUUUCACGAUUCGAGAUUUGAAGCGAGAGGUGUCAGAAAAGUUACCACAGGGAUAACUGGCUUGUGGCGGCCAAGCGUUCAUAGCGA